ACAUCCAGAGAAUUUAGCAGAGAUGCUUUAGUGCCUUCGGGAACUCUGAGACAGGUGCUGCAUGGCUGUCGUCAGCUCGUGUUGUGAAAUGUUGGGUUAAGUCCCGNAACGAGCGCAACCCUUAUCCUUUGUUGCCAGCACGUAAUGGUGGGAACUCAAAGGAGACUGCCGGUGAUAAACCGGAGGAAGGUGGGGAUGACGUCAAGUCAUCAUGGCCCUUACGAGUAGGGCUACACACGUGCUACAAUGGCGCAUACAAAGAGAAGCGACCUCGCGAGAGCAAGCGGACCUCAUAAAGUGCGUCGUAGUCCGGAUUGGAGUCUGCAACUCGACUCCAUGAAGUCGGAAUCGCUAGUAAUCGUAAAUCAGAAUGUUACGGUGAAUACGUUCCCGGGCCUUGUACACACCGCCCGUCACACCAUGGGAGUGGGUUGCAAAAGAAGUAGAUAGCUUAACCUUCGGGAGGGCGUUUACCACUUUAUGAUUCAUGACUGGGGUGAAGUCGUAACAAGGUAGGCGUAGUGCU
rnacentral:rRNA from 1 species